GACCCGCACGAAAGGUGUAACGAUCUGGGCACUGUCUCAACGAGAGACUCGGUGAAAUUAUAGUACCUGUGAAGAUGCAGGUUACCCGCGACAGGACGGAAAGACCCCGUGGAGCUUUACUGCAGCCUGAUAUUGAAUUUUGGUACAGCUUGUACAGGAUAGGUAGGAGCCUUGGAAGCCGGAGCGCUAGCUUCGGUGGAGGCAUUGGUGGGAUACUACCCUGGCUGUAUUGACAUUCUAACCCGCACCCCUUAUCGGGGUGGGAGACAGUGUCAGGUGGGCAGUUUGACUGGGGCGGUCGCCUCCUAAAAAGUAACGGAGGCGCCCAAAGGUUCCCUCAGAAUGGUUGGAAAUCAUUCGUAGAGUGUAAAGGCACAAGGGAGCUUGACUGCGAGACCUACAAGUCGAGCAGGGACGAAAGUCGGGCUUAGUGAUCCGGUGGUUCCGCAUGGAAGGGCCAUCGCUCAACGGAUAAAAGCUACCCCGGGGAUAACAGGCUUAUCUCCCCCAAGAGUCCACAUCGACGGGGAGGUUUGGCACCUCGAUGUCGGCUCAUCGCAUCCUGGGGCUGUAGUCGGUCCCAAGGGUUGGGCUGUUCGCCCAUUAAAGCGGUACGCGAGCUGGGUUCAGAACGUCGUGAGACAGUUCGGUCCCUAUCC
rnacentral:rRNA from 1 species